AGUUGUCGAAAUGUUUGCCAGUUGAGUUUCGACAAGCCUGAGAAGAUAAGCCUUCCACUAGCGUCACUGUUUGAAAUAAAACAAAAAUGUGGUGUAAAGUAGCUAAAAAUGAGGCAAAAAUAUACAUUGUCGUGUGCAUUAUUUUUGCAAUCAUCGAAACUGCCCUGCUAGUGGCAUAUAUUUUCACCGAACCCGAGUGGGCACCCAAUUUUAGUGUCGCCCAAGUUGCAGUGGCAAUAGUGCUGAGCCUCAUUUCAAUAGUUGGCUGUUUAUUGCUGUAUCAUGCGAUCCAAAAGGAUAACAUUUUGCAUAUUCAAAUCUAUAUGGGCUACUUUGCAAGCAAAUGUGUGCUGUACUUCAUAGUAAUUUUGCUGAUAAUUAUACAGUCACAAAAUGACAAUCCUAACGAAAAAGUGCGAAUCAGCUCGUAUGUGACUAUGGUUACACUAUUUAUUGUUUAUCCGUGGCACGUGUUAAGAGUGCUCUGGAAAAUCAUUGGAAAUAUUAAACAAGCAAAAACGAACACAAACGGAUAUGGAGUACCGCUAGAAACCAGCAUUAGUCAAUAAGUUGAGCUCAAUUUGUUACCAAAAAAAAUGUGUACUG